UUGUCUCAAAGAUUAAGCCAUGCAUGUCUAAGUAUAAGCAAUCUAUACUGUGAAACUGCGAAUGGCUCAUUAAAUCAGUUAUCGUUUAUUUGAUAGUACCUUACUACUUGGAUAACCGUGGUAAUUCUAGAGCUAAUACAUGCUAAAAACCUCGACUUCGGAAGGGGUGUAUUUAUUAGAUAAAAAACCAAUGCCCUUCGGGGCUCCUUGGUGAUUCAUAAUAACUUAACGAAUCGCAUGGCCUUGCGCCGGCGAUGGUUCAUUCAAAUUUCUGCCCUAUCAACUUUCGAUGGUAGGAUAGUGGCCUACCAUGGUUUCAACGGGUAACGGGGAAUUAGGGUUCUAUUCCGGAGAGGGAGCCUGAGAAACGGCUACCACAUCCAAGGAAGGCAGCAGGCGCGCAAAUUACCCAAUCCCGACACGGGGAGGUAGUGACAAUAAAUACUGAUACAGGGCUCUUUUGGGUCUUGUAAUUGGAAUGAGUACAAUUUAAAUCCCUUAACGAGGAACAAUUGGAGGGCAAGUCUGGUGCCAGCAGCCGCGGUAAUUCCAGCUCCAAUAGCGUAUAUUAAAGUUGUUGCAGUUAAAAAGCUCGUAGUUGAACCUUGGGCCUGGCUGGCCGGUCCGCCUCACCGCGUGCACUGGUCCGGCCGGGCCUUUCCUUCUGGGGAGCCGCAUGCCCUUCACUGGGUGUGUCGGGGAACCAGGACUUUUACUUU
rnacentral:rRNA from 1 species